rnacentral:lncRNA from 1 species
UGACAAUGGACUUACAAAGCUGGCUUUGGAAUGAAUAAAGAAAAUAUUCUCUGAAGAAUUGUCUCUGAAGAAAACAAAAAUCCUUUGAAAGGGCUUCCCUGAAAAGUGCCACACAAGGGACAAGGCAGUGGAGUAUCAGGCCCCGAAUUGGCUAAUAAGUGCCGUAGUUACUUAAAUGACUUCAGGUCUCCAGCUAAUCAUAAACAACGAGCGGACAAAGCACUUUUACCUACAGUCUGAUUAAAAGCACCUCAGUUUACUGGUAUGCAGCAUCUUGUAUAUAUAUACCAAUGUAGCUGAGAUAACGUCUAAUAAAGUAGCCUCACAGCAGAAAAUCUGGUAGUGA